rnacentral:lncRNA from 1 species
GGGUUGAACCUGGUUUUGUGAUAUACCAAACCUUCCUCUUUCAUGGCCAUGUGAAAUAUAACAUUAUAAGUCAGGAAUAUGACAGUUGUUGUCCAAUCGUUUUUUAUGUGUUUUGUUCAGAAUUUUAGUGAUUUUACUUUUUGUUUUACAGAUGAGGAUGGAUGGGUCGUAACUACAAUCCCGUCAUCUUUUCCCCGAAUGUGAUCUUCAGAUUAAACUUAUCAUAGAGUGUGUUCUAAUAGUUAUCAAAGGUACCAGGACUAUAACUUAAUACAUAUAAUACGCCAGACCGCGUGUUUCGUCUACAUAAGAUUCAUCAGUGACGCUCAGUUCAAAAAAAAUUAUAAAGCCGAACAAGUAGAAAGUUGAAGAGCAUUGAGGACCCAAUAUUCCAAAAGAAGUUGUGCCAAAUACGGCUAAGGUAACCUAUUCCUGAGAAUCAGAAAAUGCGUAGUUUUUUGGAAAACUUUAAGCAAAACGGCUUGUGCCACAUGUGGAGUAGAAUCUAUUUAACCUGAGAUUACCACGGUUAUUUUUAUGGGUUCGUGUUGCUCAGUCUAAAGUUUUCUAAAAUGUGUGUUUUGUACUGUUGUUUGUCUUUUUGUCUUUCUUUUAUGACCUGGCGAUUCAGUUUAUUUUUGACUUAUGAGUUUGAGUGUUCCACUGGUAUGUUUCGCCUCUCUUCUGCCUUAAAGAGUUGAAACCUAAGUAUCUGUUUAAUUUCUAAACACGUUUUUUUUAUUUUAUAUAGAUUAGACCGUUGGUUUUCCAGUUUGAAUGGUUUUACACU